CGGGGGUGGGAGGUGCUCGGACUCGGGGUCCACGCCAGCCCCUCCCCAGUGUGUCCCCAGGUUCGAGGAUGGGUGGGGGCCUCCUUUGUGUGUUUUCUGCCGGCGGCGGAGAUGGCAUCGUUGCUGCCCCAAGAGUUAUUAUUCUUCCAUAACAAUGAUCCAGACUAGAUAUAGGAACCAGUCAAGAUAUUUUGCCACAAGACCUGGGACAAGAAGACUUCCGUCAUAUCUCCCAUCAUGCUGAUCUCCUGGGGACCCUUCGCCUGCUUCUGCUACUGCAAAUGACUGGACAUGCAUUUAUUUACCUUGGUUCUUCCUGCAUGUGUGGAAACCUUUUGUUCACUGUGCUUCAGGCUGAACCGGGCCUGAAAGUGGGUCUUUGAAUUGUCUUUGUACUUUCCUAACUUGCCAAGUUUCUGAAAGAAGGAGCAGAGUAAGGCCAAGAGUUGCCAGAUGAAGAGGACCUUCCUGGAUCUAACUGGGAUUAACCCAUUCUUGUCUAUAGGAGGAAGUUUCAACUAAUUCUCAGGAUAAAGUCAAAACAGGCCUGUGACUGUUCCUUGAAUAUUCAUGGUGUAAACAAGCUUCUGGCUCCCCCAGGUCAAGCAG